rnacentral:misc_RNA from 1 species
AACAAGUCGAAGAUGGCCAGGCGCGCAUGCCCAGUCUCACAACCAUCCGUCCUGGGCCCUCUUCGCCUCAUCAUGAUGGUGAGCCCCCCGAGUGUGCACCGCAACAGGACGCCGGCACGGCACCACGCCAUCUGUGCUCAUCACACCACACUCCCCACAUCCUCCGCGGGCAAGGAUGUCAUGCAGGGCACGCUACGAUUCACCCUCUGCAAGUUGGGGCGCUGGACACUCCAGCACGCCAGGCAGCGGGGUGAGCAUCCCCCCAAACAAGGCACACAUGCGCCGGUGCGCGGCACUGCGACCAGCAGCAGCUGUCCGCUGCGCAAGGUAACCUGCUUACGCACGUCCCACCCGCGCUGCAGGGGCUGCCCCCGCGGCGUGUUUAACGCUGCGGACAGUGCCCCUUCAGGACGACGGGCUGUGAGCUCUGUGUGUGCGCAGGCGCAUGUCUCUCGGCGGGCCCCCUCCACUUGACGCGCCCACGCCUUCGAAAGGCCUGCGGAUGCAGGGAAGGGUGGAGUACCCCUGUUGCCGCAGUCUCGUGGCAGCGUCCUAGCUGGCGCAGCACACGCGGGGAAGCGAUCCAGACACGCCCCCAUGACAUCGAAGGCGAUGGAAGGUGAACACAGCAGGCCCCUACCCUCCCCCCACUGGCGGCAACGUUGUGCUGAGGCAGGCCCCAGGAUUCACUAGUGUGAGCACUGUACAGCACGAGCUACCAUGCACAGCCGGCAUGGCGUAUCACACCCGAGCAAGGCAUCCAGAGGUCAGCAGAGCAAGAGGAAUAGACGGAAAAGGUGCGAAGAGAUGCAUAGGAAUCAACGCCACAGCGCAUGCGUGCGAAAUGUGCAGCAUCUCCUUCAUCCGACCGGGUGGACUGAUGAGGCGCAGAUGCCGGAAGCGCGACGAGGGCACGCCACGCGUUGCACCAUCGAGACCUCGAGGCUCCCAUGUGAAGAGUCCACGCACCACAUUCUGGGGUGCCGCGGCUUGAAGCGCCUCAGAGGGCGGAGCAAGGCAUAUAGGCAGGGUGUGCAGAGGGCUGCAGCGAGGGCCCUGGCCUGCAGCUGGCCAGCUUCCUUCUCGAGCGUACCCGGCAUGCACCUUCAUCAACCCCUACUACUCGCACGGUCGACGCCACCGCCUCCGCCCUCGAGCAGGGCCCUGGAGGCGGCCGGCGUUGGAUCAAGGCAAGCAGAGCCCGUACAACGCAUGGCCCGGAUGCGACGGCAGGACGGUUCGUCCUAGACGGCGAGGUUGUAGCCGUAUUCCUGCAAAGGCAGGUGGGCUGUGGGUGCUUGUGUGUGUGUGUGUCUACUUCUUGACCUGUUCGUUGGUGGCAUGGGCACGCUGUUGUGCGAAAAAAAAAAAGCAAUUCUUCUCGGCACCGUUUGCGUUCCUAUGUGACCGCUGGUUUGGUUUUCUCUUCAGUCUCUUCACUUGCCAUGGGCUUGCUCAGGCGCCUUGGGCAUUUGCGUGAGGGUGUUGCUCCUCGGAAGGGAACAUGCGCUCUAAUACGCACUGCGUAGGCGAGAUGCACUCCUCAGCAUUGCAUCACCACCCGCCUACCCAUACUGCUGAAUGUGCCUGUCCCCUCCCUUACCUGUUUAGGUUCUGUCGUCGUCUCCUCUCCCCGCCCCCCCCCUAAGACACGCGUUGUCAGUCUCUGGCGGUGGAUGUCUCCGAUGGCAGGCGAAACAUUAACUUAGAAAG